CCCUGGUGCACACCAUGGUCAGGAAUAUACGCAAAGGCACACUCACUCAGUGUAUUGUCCUAUCCCUUCAGUGAAUGUUUAUGUUGACAAAGACCGCAGAGCAUACAGGGCCUCCCUCACUGGGACCACACAGAGGACAGACCAAGAAGCCCCACAUCACAACAUCCUCCUGAUGCCUGGGCUGGGCUGGAGCUCACAUGAGAGAAAGACAUCUGCAACAGGAUGGUUACAGUCUGUAACCAUGGAGACUGUGGACACCAAUACAUGCCAUGGAAACUUCAGAGAGUGGCAGAGGAGGAGGCUGGAGAGGUAGGUGGUGGGCAGUGAGUUUAAAGGAUCAUAACAAAGCUAGGAGGCUUAAAGCAAAGGGGGAAGAGCAAUGUAGGUCAUCUUUGCAUUAAGAGAGUUCAUGCAACUAGCUGUCUAGCUGUGAAGACAGUAGGAUGUAGGAAGAAAUAAAACAUUUCCCCUACUUGUGCACACACGAGCAGAGACAUGGCGCACCUGUGUGCAGAGGGAGGGCCUCCCUUGUGUGCUUCAAUCAUGUCUG
ensembl:lncRNA